AUUGAACGCUGGCGGCAAGCCUAACACAUGCAAGUCGAACGAGUGGCGGACGGGUGAGUAAUGUCUGGGAAACUGCCUGAUGGUGGGGGAUAACUACUGGAAACGGUAGCUAAUACCGCAUACCAUCGGAUGUGCCCAGAUGGGAUUAGCUAGUAGGUGGGGUAAAGGCUCACCUAGGCGACGAUCCCUAGCUGGUCUGAGAGGAUGACCAGCCACACUGGAACUGAGACACGGUCCAGACUCCGACGGGAGGCAGCAGUGGAGAAUAUUGCACAAUGGGCGCAAGCCUGAUGCAGCCAUGCCGCGUGUAUGAAGAAGGCCUUCGGGUUGUAAAGUACUUUCAGCGGGGAGGCGUUACCCGCAGAAGAAGCACCGGCUAACUCCGUGCCAGCAGCCGCGGUAAUAC
rnacentral:rRNA from 1 species